AACUGAGCACUUUUCCUUCCUUCUCAGGCCGUUAGCAUUCCUAUCCGUUGGAUCGUCACUUUUAGGCUUCUUUGGCCGUCGGAUUUGCUCUUAAUCCCACCUAAAUCUCAUGUACAGGCUAACUCGCGCGCCAGGCUGCGCUAGCCUUCUCGGGCCGCUGCUCCGGUGGUUUUUUUUGUGCUUGGGAUUAAAUUGGGCCUAUAGGGCCUGUAAGAGCUUCUAAUCCGUCCAACCCAAAAGAACAGGACGCUCGCUACCCCUGGCUUUUGUUCCCAAUGUCUCUGGCUCCUAGCCUUCGUGUGGCGGUGCCUCUGAGGAGAUCGAUCCCUUCGUCCUCUCAGAAAUCUCGACCAACGAAAGAGCACAAUGGCCAAUCGAUCCCCUCGCCCUCUCUUUCUACCGCAUCGCCCAUCCUCCCGCCAAUUUUUUUUGUGCAAUCGCCAGUUUAGGGCUAGAGAGGUAACGGGCGGAGAGGCCAGACGACGGACAUGACGCAGGCUGUCGCAUCAAUCCAAUCUGGGACAACUCCAUGCGGUAAAGUUUGCUCAGGUUUCCGGACCGCCGCCGAUGCAGGCCGAGGCCAAUCGUCAUUUUGUUGUUCAGUAGUUCGUCGUGCGAAACUGCUCCGCUGUGGUUUGAAGGAAGCAAUCACUCUUCAGUUUUUGGAGGCAUUCAUGGUGGAUGAUGUGCUCCCCAUGCUGGCGGUGACUAAUGGAUUUAUCCGUGUAUGAUUUAUUCUUCCACCCAAAGAUGAUAUUGUGCUAAUAUCCUCCCAAUCCCAAUUUUGUACAGGGGUAUUCAUAAAUGGCUCUGGUUAAUUGGUUAGGGCAGAUCUUGGAGACUGAUUCUCACAUAUUUGGGAAUUGUUCAGUUCAUAAUCUAAAAUGGCUUUUGUACAGGUAAUUACAUCAAUUGGGCCUCCAAACAUUCUACUUUCAUGUUUUACUUUCUUAGAUAAAUACAAGGUGUGACAUGCAAAGAAAAUUUGUUUGACCCAUAUUAGUUACAGAAAGAAAACAGGAAAUAUUAAUGUCAUUGUUCGCAUUCUUCAUCGGAACUCAAGUAUAAGGCGAGCAUACACAACAAGGGAACAUAAAUAUUGCAGAGUAACACGUGUGUUCAACACGAUUUCCCAAUUAUUCAUGUUGAGGGAAUUUAACUAUGAUUACCUUCUGUUUAUUGCUAUUCUCCUAGGUAUCAAAGAAAUUGAAUAGUUAGUUUCACUAUUGCAGUUUGUUAGCAACUACCAUUCUUCAAUAAUGUCUGAAAUAAUAUAUAAACAGUUACCAAGUGAUGGAUAUCCUUUCCAUGGUUCAUAGUGUGUUAGCCACUUGAUCAUACUAAUGUAUGUUCCAGAAUUAAUUGGACCUAUUGUGUUUAGAAGAUUGUAUCUUUCCUAUUUGAUUUACUCCUUUAAUAUUUUUAAUGUAUCAGAUAUAAACAACAAUGGACUUAGAUGUUAAUUUUCAACUUUGUUAAUUUAGAUUUUGCA